CAGUAUAAUUUUAAAGCAUUACCAUUUUAAUAUUUACUACAUUUUGGGUCCUGUAGGAAGCUGCUUCCAAAAAGGAAAAGAGAAGAUUUAUAAUCUGAAUAGAUUAGAGUUUCAUAAAGCACAAUGAAGCAUGCAACAGGCUCUGUUAAAAAUAAAUAAAUAAAUAAGGCACCAUGCAUGUAUUCUGCUGCCAACUCUCGAUUAUUCAUGUUAGGAAGGAAAGCAGAUGGGGGAAGUCCAAAAAAUGGCCAUAGGAACAAGUCUGGGCUCACCAGCUGUUGGAAGACUCUUCAUAUGGAACAGAGGUAAGCUACCCCCACUGAAGCCAACCAAACAACCCAGUUGCAAAACUGCCUGGCAGUAGACUGAAGAUGAACAAAUGAAUCUAGUGCAGACUAGAAGAGCCAAUUAGCUGAACCCAGCUCACAUUUCUAACCAACAGAAUUAUAAGACUACACCCAUGCCUACAUCUGAAUCAAACUAAAAGGAAAGAUGGAACUGGCCUCUGAAAUUCCUGACUUUGUCACACAGAGAAAGCGUGUUCUGAAAGAAAGGCACAUUUGUAACCCCCAGACAACAGUUUAAGAGCACGUUCUUUGGCUGCAUCUAUAGUUGCAUAAACAUCCUUCCCCUCAUGGUCCAUUAGCUUCCAGGAAAUGAGCGAAGGAUCUGGCAACUGUCUUUCACUUGAUCUUUGCUUCUCUCAAAUGAAGGUAAGUGCUUUUAGGCUGAGCGCUAAUGGAAUUGAAAUUCAUCUCUGCUUUGCUGAUUUUAGUUAACAUCCCUUAACCCUCCCAAAUCCAACCACUGCCUGAGCUCCGGGCAGAGCAUUUAUAUGAGAGAAGGAGAGUGGCAGUAAAGAACAAAAAGGGCAUUCGGAUUUAUUUCUUCCCUCACAAUGCAUUCCCUGUCUUGUAUACACCAAGUCUCAGUGCUAAAUUUAAAUGGCCCAUUUUUUUUCUUUUGCUCACAAUGUAUCUUUAGUUAGAGCCAGACCCAAAAGUUAUAUGUUUUGGAAGAAUGGAAAUAUCAUAACUAUUAGAAUCAGAAAAACCUCAAAUUUUAAGGUUCAUUUUGUCAUUUACUUUUUGCAGGAACUUCAGUAAAUGAACUUAUAUGUGCUUCAAUUUUUGUUCCAGGAAAGAAGCAUCACAAGACAUAUAGUCAGUCACCCGGCCUCUUCCAAUAUGAAAACCUCAUAUGAAAUAUGGGGAUUUUCCUUCUUUAUUUUAGUUUUAUUAAUAGUGACAGAGCCCAUUCAAGAGAGAAAGACAACCCACUCCUUCCCCCAACUCUUCCCCAUCCUCUCUGGGAAGAAAUAAAUAUUUUCCACCAGGGGAGAUGAGAAAAGCCCUGGGCUUUUUGCUGCUAUUGCUUAGUGAAGGUUUCAUCCCAGGUGCUGAUUUAGGGUGUUCACAGUUGUGCAUAAAAUUGGAAGAGAGAGACUCUGUGUGUGUUUUUAAAGCUGGAGGAUGAUGAGGAUUUGGAGGGAGGUGAGGGAGGAAACACACUUGAUCUGGCAUGGUUUUCUGUAGUUUGACCUGACACUGGGCAGGUUUUCAAUAAGCAUUUCCUUCAUUCCCACUGCACACCCCAAUGAAUAUGCUGCAAAGGUGCAAGGGGUGUGGUCUGCGAGCCCAGGAACAACAUUGAACAAAAGUCUUUGCCAGGCAACUGCCUCGCUUUUACUCAACAGAGAACUUCUUGUUAUGGGCACUCAAGUCCUACCAACAAAACCAGUCUCUAAGUAGGAGAAACUGUGUCCAUCCAGAGCAGCCCCUUGCCUGGUGACCACUCAAUAGGAAUGAUGAAUGACUUUCUACAAAAAUUUAACCCAUUGGUGUCCAGAUAUCCUAUGCAGGUGGCUCCCCACAAAGUCCUAACACAGGCAUACCUCAUUUUAUUGUGCUCCACUUUAUUGUGCUUUGCAGAUACUGCAUUUUUUACAGAUUGAAUGUCUGUGGCAACCCUGUGUCAAGCAAGUCUAUUGGCAAUUUUCCAACAGCCUGCACUCAUUUCAUAUCUCUGUGUAUUUUCAGGAUAUUUCAAAUGUUUUCAUUAUUAUUAUGUGGUUAUAUCUGUUACGGUGCUCUAUAAUCAGUGAUCUUUGAUUAUACCCAAGAGCUCUGAUGAAACUAUUGUAAUUGUUUUGAGGCAUCGCAAACUACACCCAGGUAAGAUGGCAAAUGUAAUCGAACGGUGUGUGUGUUCUGACUGUUCCAUCAGCCAACUGUUCCCAUUUCUCUCACUCUUCUCAGCCUCUCUACUCCUGAGAUACAAUAAUAUUGAAGUUAGGCCAGUUAAUAACCCUAAGAUACCCUCUAAGUGUUCCAGUGAAAGGAAGAGCUGCAUGUCUCUCACUUUAAAUCAAAAGCUAGAAAUGAUUAAGCUUAGUGAUGAAGACAUGUUGAAGCCAAGAUUGGACAGAAGGUAGGCCUCUUGCACCAAACAGUUAGCCAAGUCAUGAAUGCAAAAAAAAAAAAAUUAAAAGUGCUACUCCAGUGACCACACAGAAGAUAAGAAAGCAAAAUUGUCCUAUUGCUGAUAUGGAGAAAGUUUUAAUGGUCUGAAUAGAGCAAACCACCUUCAACAUUCCCUUAAGACAAAGACUAAUCCAGGGCAGGUCCUAACUUUCUUUAAUUCUAUAAAGGCUGAGAGAGAUGAGGGAGCUGCAGAAGCAAAGUUUGAAGCUAGCAGAGGUUGGUUCAUGAGGUUUAAGGAAAGAAGCCAUCUCUAUAAAACAAAAGUGUGAGGUCCAAAGCAGCAAGUGAUGACGUAGAAACUGCAGCAGGUUACGCAGAAGAUCUAGCAAAUAUCAUUGACAAAAGUGGUUCCAUUAAGUGACAUAUUUUUAGUAUAGAUAAAACAGUUUUCUAUCAGAAGAAGAUGCCCUUUAGGACUUUCAUAGCUAGUGAGAAAUCAAUGCCUAGCUUCAAAACUUCAAAGACAGGUGGACUCCCUUGUUAGGGGCCAAUGCAGCUGAUGACUUUAAAUUGAAGUCAGUGCUUAUUUUUCAUUCCAACAAUCCUAGAGACCUUAAGAGUUAUACUAAAUCUACUCUGCCUGUGCUCUGUAAAUGCAACGACAAAACCUGGAUGACAGCGCAUCUGUUUAUAGCAUGGUUUACGAAUAUUUUAAUCCCCCUGUUGAGACUAACUGCCCAGAAAAAAAAAA